AGCUUUGCGCAGUGGCAGUAUCGUAGCCAAUGAGGUAUAUGAGGUGCGAUUAUUGCUAAUUCAAAUCUGUGUAGAAUUUAGAGCUAUACCAGUUGACCUGAAGAAAUUUCAGCGCAGUACUGUGGAAC
rnacentral:snRNA from 1 species